rnacentral:rRNA from 1 species
UACGGAGGGGGCUAGCGUUGUUCGGAAUUACUGGGCGUAAAGCGUGCGUAGGCGGUUUCUUAAGUCUGCUGUGAAAGCCCUGGGCUCAACCUGGGAAUGGCGGUGGAUACUGAGAAGCUGGAGUACGGUAGAGGAAGGUGGAAUUCCCGGUGUAGCGGUGAAAUGCGUAGAGAUCGGGAGGAACAUCAGUGGCGAAGGCGGCCUUCUGGACCAGUACUGACGCUGAGGCACGAAAGCGUGGGGAGCAAACAGG